UACAGAGACUGCAAGCGUUAUUCGGAUUUACUGGGCGUAAAGGGCGUGCAGGCGGUUUGUUUAGUCUAGGGUGAAAGCUCCCGGCUUAACUGGGAGAGGUCCUUGGAUACUGGCAAACUUGAGGGAGGCAGAGGAAAGUGGAAUUCCCGGUGUAGUGGUGAUAUGCGUAGAUAUCGGGAGGAACACCAGUGGCGAAGGCGGCUUUCUGGGCCUUACCUGACGCUGAGACGCGAAAGCGUGGGGAGCGAACCGG
rnacentral:rRNA from 1 species